rnacentral:tRNA from 1 species
AUUUAAAUAGUUUAAAUAAAACAUUGAUCUUGUAAAUCAAAAAUAAAUAAAAAAAAAUUUUUUAAAUA